AUGCAAAGAACUUUGAAAAGAGAGUUAAAGAGUACCUGAAAUUGCUGAAAUGGAAGCGAAGGAAACCAGUGUUUUGCGUGUCAUAUUUCUCCGUUCGCUUGCGGUCGGAGCGCUGUGGCCGCAGUGGUCAGGGCUCUUUGCUUAGUGUGCAAUCAGCACGGUUUGCGAAGGGGUCUGACGAAAUGGUUUUCUUUACCCCGUCUUGAAACACGGACCAAGGAGUCUAACAUAUGUGCGAGUACAGAGGUGUCAAACCUCGGUGCGUAAUGAAAGUGACAGUGGUUGUAUUUUUGCCCAAUCCGCCGGCCUCAAUCCCUCGGGAGAACGGUCUGAGUGUGAGCAUUUAUGUUGGGACCCGAAAGAUGGUGAACUAUGCCUGAAUAGGGUAAAGCCAGGGGAAACUCUGGUGGAGGCUCGUAGCGAUUCUGACGUGCAAAUCGAUCGUCAAAUUUGGGUAUAGGGGCGAAAGACUAAUCGAACCAUACUAGUAGCUGGUUUCCUCCGAAAUUUCCCUCAGGAUAGCUGCGAUCAUUAUGCAAUUUUAUCA
rnacentral:rRNA from 1 species